rnacentral:lncRNA from 1 species
UGGGGAGAAUCCAUGUUGUGCUGAAGAAGGGCGAAAGUACACUUUUGGCUCAACACGGCAUGGAUCAGCACGGCCCAAAUCCAAGUUGUGUUGAGUCCCAAAACCUAAAUUAAAAGAAAAGAAAAGGAAAGAGAACAUGGCCGCACAGAGAGAAAAAAGAGCAAAAGUUUGAAGUAUCCAAGACAAACCCUAGAGCUAACUUCCAAAC